UUCCUUCCCAUGCUUUCAUCACAUAGUGAUUUUAGUUGGCAUGUCUCAGUUUGGGAGGUAUUGAAAAACAGCUGUCAGUCAAUGCAGUCAUCAGUCACAGCCAGCACGACUUCAUGAGGGGGAAGUCCUGUUUGUUGAACCUAAUUUCUUUCUAUGACAGGGUAACACAUCUAACUGAUCAAGGGAAGCCAGUAGAUAUAAUAAUUUUGGAUUUCAGUGAAGAUUUUUAUGUGUCCCUCUGCAUAUCCCUGUGGACAAAAUCUCUAGCACAAAAGCUGGAAAAACACAUCAUGAAGUGGGUGAACAACUGGGCCACAGGUUGGGCACAAAUAGUUAUAGUGAAUGGGGUGACAUCAGGCUGGUGUUUGGUCACUAGUGUGGUUCUGCAGGGCUCCAUCCUUGGCCCAGUUCUCUCCAAUGUCUUCACGAAUUCUAUGGAUGAAGGACUCAAAGGAAUACUAAGUAAAUCUGCUGAUGACAUCAAGUUGGGAGGAGCUUUUGACUCCCUUAAAGGCAGGAAGACCCUGUAGAGAGACCUCGACAAAUUAGAGAGGGGUCAGUAACCAGAACUCAGUCAUAUUCUUUUCUCAUCAUAUCUGGCCAAAAUUACAGAAACGCUGCCCAACCAGAGCUGAGCCUUCAGAGGAAGCAACAGAGAAAAUCCAGGUGGAAAUAGCAGUGGCCAGCUAUUAUCGUAGCUGAUGUGACAUUUUUUGAUACACUAGCUGAAUUAAAAAAUGAGAUGAGAAGGAAGAGAAGCCAAAUGGAAUAACCAAAAUAACGUAUGAAUCUAGUGGUAGAGGUGGAAAAUCCAAUCUCCAAAUUCUAGCCUGAAAUUGUACCUUUCAAAGUUAAGCACAUCUUAAGAAGUGCUGUACAAAAGAAUUGCUUAACUGGUAUUUCAGAAAUUAGAGAUAUAUAUAAAUGUAGUAGGAACACAGUGUCCUCUCCUUUUUUAAAAGUUAAACACAUCGAGACAGAGAUUAGAAAUGUCACAUCAAAAUGGACACUAAUUAGCAGUCUUAUUGGCAGUCUUACCAGAGGGGUCAAGAACAGAAUUUAAAACUGCUCUGAAAAUAAAGUGACUGUCCAGCAAAACCUGGUAUUUCAGUAUCUCUGUUUGGAAGCACAAGGAAAAGUCAAAGUAAUGAACAUAUUACAGAAUGAAAACUUCUGAAAUCUGUCUUUUUGGAGAGGUCACAAUGCAAAAUUCACUAUUUUUAAUACAAAUGCUACAGCUUGUUGAUCAUUUUCACUUAAUAAAAUUGCCAAUUAAAAGAGUAUGUUCCAUUAUCUUUCACAAUCUUCCUUUCCUAGGCCACCAAAUCAACAGUUUAAAAGGAGAAGAAGGAAAUUACACUGACGACGUCUGCUAAAAAAAAUAAAAAAAUAAAGAGAGAAA